CUGGGGAUCUGCCCGAUAGAGGGGGAUAACCACUGGAAACGGUGGCUAAUACCGCAUAACGUCGCAAGACCAAAGAGGGGGACCUUCGGGCCUCUCACUAUCGGAUGAACCCAGAUGGGAUUAGCUAGUAGGCGGGGUAACGGCCCACCUAGGCGACGAUCCCUAGCUGGUCUGAGAGGAUGACCAGCCACACUGGAACUGAGACACGGUCCAGACUCCUACGGGAGGCAGCAGUGGGGAAUAUUGCACAAUGGGCGCAAGCCUGAUGCAGCCAUGCCGCGUGUAUGAAGAAGGCCUUCGGGUUGUAAAGUACUUUCAGCGGGGAGGAAGGCAAUGAGGUUAAUAACCUUACUGAUUGACGUUACCCGCAGAAGAAGCACCGGCUAACUCCGUGCCAGCAGCCGCGGUAAUACGGAGGGUGCAAGCGUUAAUCGGAAUUACUGGGCGUAAAGCGCACGCAGGCGGUCUGUUAAGUCAGAUGUGAAAUCCCCGGGCUUAACCUGGGAACUGCAUUUGAAACUGGCAGGCUUGAGUCUCGUAGAGGGGGGUAGAAUUCCAGGUGUAGCGGUGAAAUGCGUAGAGAUCUGGAGGAAUACCGGUGGCGAAGGCGGCCCCCUGGACGAAGACUGA
rnacentral:rRNA from 1 species